rnacentral:rRNA from 1 species
GAAGUCGAGCGCAGGAAGCAAGUUGAUCCCCUUCGGGGGUGACGCUUGUGGAAUGAGCGGCGGACGGGUGAGUAACACGUGGGCAACCUGCCUGUAAGACUGGGAUAACCCCGGGAAACCGGGGCUAAUACCGGAUAAUACUUUCUUUUGCAUAAAGGAAAGUUGAAAGGCGGCUUCGGCUGUCACUUACAGAUGGGCCCGCGGCGCAUUAGCUAGUUGGUGAGGUAACGGCUCACCAAGGCGACGAUGCGUAGCCGACCUGAGAGGGUGAUCGGCCACACUGGGACUGAGACACGGCCCAGACUCCUACGGGAGGCAGCAGUAGGGAAUCUUCCGCAAUGGACGAAAGUCUGACGGAGCAACGCCGCGUGAGUGAUGAAGGUUUUCGGAUCGUAAAACUCUGUUGUUAGGGAAGAACAAGUUGGGUAGUAACUGACCCAACCUUGACGGUACCUAACCAGAAAGCCACGGCUAACUACGUGCCAGCAGCCGCGGUAAUACGUAGGUGGCAAGCGUUGUCCGGAAUUAUUGGGCGUAAAGCGCUCGCAGGCGGUNCCUUUAAGUCUGAUGUGAAAUCUCGCGGCUCAACCGCGAACGGUCAUUGGAAACUGGAGGACUUGAGUACAGAAGAGGAGAGUGGAAUUCCACGUGUAGCGGUGAAAUGCGUAGAGAUGUGG